CCUACGGGAGGCAGCAGUGAGGAAUAUUGGUCAAUGGGCGGAAGCCUGAACCAGCCAAGUAGCGUGCAGGAUGACGGCCCUACGGGUUGUAAACUGCUUUUAUACGGGAAUAACGCGCCUUACGUGUAGGGCUUUGCAUGUACCGUAUGAAUAAGGACCGGCUAAUUCCGUGCCAGCAGCCGCGGUAAUACGGAAGGUCCGGGCGUUAUCCGGAUGUAUUGGGUUUAAAGGGUGCGUAGGCCGCACGUCAAGCUGGCUGUGAAAUGUCGGGGCUCAACCCGGGCCUUGCAGCGAGAACUGGCGUGCUUGAGUCCGCUGAAAGCAGGCGGAAUUCGUCGUGUAGCGGGGAAAUGCUUAGAUAUGACGAAGAACCCCGAUUGCGAAGGCAGCUUGCUGCAGCGGAACUGACGCUGAUGCUCGAAAGCGCGGGUAUCGAACAGGAUUAGAUACCCUAGUAGUC
rnacentral:rRNA from 1 species